rnacentral:tRNA from 1 species
GACCAUAGUGCAGUAGUAGAUCAUCUGCUUUGGAUGCAGAAGGUCCCAGGUUUAAUCCCUGAUAUCUUCA